rnacentral:tRNA from 1 species
GUCCCCGUAGCUCAGCUGGAUAGAGCAUCGCUUUCCUAAAGCGGAGGUCGGGUGUUCGAAUCACCCCGGGGACACCA